UAAGCAUAUCAAUAAGCGGAGGAAAAGAAACCAACAGGGAUUGCCCCAGUAACGGCGAGUGAAGCGGCAACAGCUCAAAUUUGAAAUCUGGCCCCUAGGGUCCGAGUUGUAAUUUGUAGAGGAUGCUUUUGGUGAGGUGCCGCCCGAGUUCCCUGGAACGGGACGCCGCAGAGGGUGAGAGCCCCGUCUGGCUGGCCACCGAGCCUCUGUAAAGCUCCUUCGACGAGUCGAGUAGUUUGGGAAUGCUGCUCAAAAUGGGAGGUAUAUGUCUUCUAAAGCUAAAUAUUGGCCAGAGACCGAUAGCGCACAAGUAGAGUGAUCGAAAGAUGAAAAGCACCUUGAAAAGAGGGUUAAACAGUACGUGAAAUUGUUGAAAGGGAAGCGCUUGUGACCAGACUUGGGCGCGGCGGAUCAUCCGGGGUUCUCCCCGGUGCACUUCGCCGUGUUCAGGCCAGCAUCAGUUCGGCGCGGGGGAAAAAGGCUUCGGGAACGUGGCUCCUCCGGGAGUGUUAUAGCCCGUUGCAUAAUACCCUGCGCUGGACUGAGGACCGCGC
rnacentral:rRNA from 1 species